rfam:Gossypium hirsutum cultivar TM-1 chromosome 6, whole genome shotgun sequence
GCAUCCAUGGUUGAAUGGUUAAAUCGUCCAAUUUAUAAUUAACGAAUUGUAAGUUCAAGUCCUACUGGAUGCA